AUUGAACGCUGGCGGCAGGCCUAACACAUGCAAGUCGAGCGAGCGGCGGACGGGUGAGUAAUGGAUGGGGACUGCCCGUGAGGGGGGGAUAACUACAGGAAACGGUGGCUAAUACCGCAUCCGGUAGGAUAAACAAUAUGGGAUUAGUUAGUAGGUACGGUAAUGGCUGACCUAGGCGACGAUCCCUAGCUGGUCAGGGAGGAUGAUCAGCCAGCCUGGGACUGAGACACGGCCCAGACUCCUACGGAGGCAGCAGUGGGGAAUAUUGCACAAUGGGCGCAAGCCUGAUGCAGCCAUGCCGCGUGUAUGAAGAAGGCCCUAGGGUUGUAAAGUACUUUCAGUCGGGAGGCGUUACCGACAGAAGAAGCACCGGCUAACUCCGUGCCAGCAGCCGCGGUAAUUC
rnacentral:rRNA from 1 species